rnacentral:rRNA from 1 species
GGGUUGUGAGGUUAAGCGACCAAGCGUACACGGUGGAUGCCCUGGCAGUCAGAGGCGAUGAAGGGCGUGCUAAUCUGCGAUAAGCGCCGGUAAGGUGAUAUGAACCGUUAUAACCGGCGAUACCCGAAUGGGGAAACCCAGUGUGAUUCGUCACACUAUCAUUAACUGAAUCCAUAGGUUAAUGAGGCGAACCGGGGGAACUGAAACAUCUAAGUACCCCGAGGAAAAGAAAUCAACCGAGAUUCCCCCAGUAGCGGCGAGCGAACGGGGAGGAGCCCAGAGCCUGAAUCAGCAUGUGUGUUAGUGGAAGCGUCUGGAAAGGCGCGCGAUACAGGGUGACAGCCCCGUACACAAAAGCGCAUGUGCUGUGAGCUCGAUGAGUAGGGCGGGACACGUGGUAUCCUGUCUGAAUAUGGGGGGACCAUCCUCCAAGGCUAAAUACUCCUGACUGACCGAUAGUGAACCAGUACCGUGAGGGAAAGGCGAAAAGAACCCCGGCGAGGGGAGUGAAAAAGAACCUGAAACCGUGUACGUACAAGCAGUGGGAGCCCCACCACUAAGCCAGUGGUGAACUCCACAUACGCAUCCUUUGCUGAGGAUACGGUUAACGGAGCGAAAGCGACGUUCAACCUCAAAAGAAGCAGAGGGGGCUUAGUGGUGGGGUGACUGCGUACCUUUUGUAUAAUGGGUCAGCGACUUAUAUUCUGUAGCAAGGUUAACCGAAUAGGGGAGCCGGAGGGAAACCGAGUCUUAAUUGGGCGUUAAGUUGCAGGGUAUAGACCCGAAACCCGGUGAUCUAGCCAUGGGCAGGUUGAAGGUUGGGUAACACUAACUGGAGGACCGAACCGACUAAUGUUGAAAAAUUAGCGGAUGACCUGUGGCUGGGGGUGAAAGGCCAAUCAAACCGGGAGAUAGCUGGUUCUCCCCGAAAGCUAUUUAGGUAGCGCCUCGUGAAUUCAUCUCCGGGGGUAGAGCACUGUUUCGGCCAGGGGGCCAUCCCGGCUUACCAACCCGAUGCAAACUGCGAAUACCGGAGAAUGUUAUCACGGGAGACACACGGCGGGUGCUAACGUCCGUCGUGAAGAGGGAAACAACCCAGACCGCCAGCUAAGGUCCCAAAGUCAUGGUUAAGUGGGAAACGAUGUGGGAAGGCCCAGACAGCCAGGAUGUUGGCUUAGAAGCAGCCAUCAUUUAAAGAAAGCGUAAUAGCUCACUGGUCGAGUCGGCCUGCGCGGAAGAUGUAACGGGGCUAAACCAUGCACCGAAGCUGCGGCAGCGAACGUAUCACCCAAGACAACUUUGCACAGUUGACGAUUGACGGAGCGAAGCGACGUCAAAGCGUUUUACAACGUCGAGUUGGCUUAGGGAUACGUUCGUUGGGUAGGGGAGCGUUCUGUAAGCCUGUGAAGGUGGCCUGUGAGGGUUGCUGGAGGUAUCAGAAGUGCGAAUGCUGACAUAAGUAACGAUAAAGCGGGUGAAAAGCCCGCUCGCCGGAAGACCAAGGGUUCCUGUCCAACGUUAAUCGGGGCAGGGUGAGUCGACCCCUAAGGCGAGGCCGAAAGGCGUAGUCGAUGGGAAACGGGUUAAUAUUCCCGUACUUGGUGUUACUGCGAAGGGGGGACGGAGAAGGCUAUGUUGGCCGGGCGACGGUUGUCCCGGUUUAAGCGUGUAGGCUGGUUUUCCAGGCAAAUCCGGAAAAUCAAGGCUGAGGCGUGACGACGAGGCACUACGGUGCUGAAGCAACAAAUGCCCUGCUUCCAGGAAAAGCCUCUAAGCAUCAGGUAACAUCAAAUCGUACCCCAAACCGACACAGGUGGUCAGGUAGAGAAUACCAAGGCGCUUGAGAGAACUCGGGUGAAGGAACUAGGCAAAAUGGUGCCGUAACUUCGGGAGAAGGCACGCUGACACGUAGGUGAAGUGAUUUACUCAUGGAGCUGAAGUCAGUCGAAGAUACCAGCUGGCUGCAACUGUUUAUUAAAAACACAGCACUGUGCAAACACGAAAGUGGACGUAUACGGUGUGACGCCUGCCCGGUGCCGGAAGGUUAAUUGAUGGGGUCAGCGCAAGCGAAGCUCCUGAUCGAAGCCCCGGUAAACGGCGGCCGUAACUAUAACGGUCCUAAGGUAGCGAAAUUCCUUGUCGGGUAAGUUCCGACCUGCACGAAUGGCGUAAUGAUGGCCAGGCUGUCUCCACCCGAGACUCAGUGAAAUUGAACUCGCUGUGAAGAUGCAGUGUACCCGCGGCAAGACGGAAAGACCCCGUGAACCUUUACUAUAGCUUGACACUGAACAUUGAGCCUUGAUGUGUAGGAUAGGUGGGAGGCUUUGAAGCGUGGACGCCAGUCUGCGUGGAGCCGGCCUUGAAAUACCACCCUUUAAUGUUUGAUGUUCUAACGUGGACCCGUAAUCCGGGUUGCGGACAGUGUCUGGUGGGUAGUUUGACUGGGGCGGUCUCCUCCUAAAGAGUAACGGAGGAGCACGAAGGUUGGCUAAUCCUGGUCGGACAUCAGGAGGUUAGUGCAAUGGCAUAAGCCAGCUUGACUGCGAGCGUGACGGCGCGAGCAGGUGCGAAAGCAGGUCAUAGUGAUCCGGUGGUUCUGAAUGGAAGGGCCAUCGCUCAACGGAUAAAAGGUACUCCGGGGAUAACAGGCUGAUACCGCCCAAGAGUUCAUAUCGACGGCGGUGUUUGGCACCUCGAUGUCGGCUCAUCACAUCCUGGGGCUGAAGUAGGUCCCAAGGGUAUGGCUGUUCGCCAUUUAAAGUGGUACGCGAGCUGGGUUUAGAACGUCGUGAGACAGUUCGGUCCCUAUCUGCCGUGGGCGCUGGAAGAUUGAGGGGGGCUGCUCCUAGUACGAGAGGACCGGAGUGGACGCAUCACUGGUGUUCGGGUUGUCAUGCCAAUGGCACUGCCCGGUAGCUAAAUGCGGAAGAGAUAAGUGCUGAAAGCAUCUAAGCACGAAACUUGCCCCGAGAUGAGUCUUCCCUGAGACUUUAAGUCUCCUGAAGGAACGUUAAAGACGAUGACGUUGAUAGGCCGGGUGUGUAAGCGCAGCGAUGCGUUGAGCUAACCGGUACUAAUGAACCGUGAGGCUUAACCUUACAACGCCGAAG